UACAGAGGUCUCAAGCGUUGUUCGGAUUCAUUGGGCGUAAAGGGUGCGUAGGUGGCGCGCUAAGUCAGGUGUGAAAUUUCGGAGCUUAACUCCGAAACUGCAUUUGAUACUGGCGUGCUUGGAGGACUGGAGAGGAGACUGGAAUUCAUGGUGUAGCAGUGAAAUGCGUAGAGAUCAUGAGGAAGACCAGUGGCGAAGGCGGGUCUCUGGACAGUUCCUGACGCUGAGGCACGAAGGCCAGGGGAGCAAACGGG
rnacentral:rRNA from 1 species